GCGAGCAGCCCCCAGUCUGGGCCCCUGUGAGCCUCCCUGUUGUUGAACCCAGUGGGGUACUAGGGGCCGGUUCCAAGCGGCCUGGCCUGGCCUGUCAGCCCGCUGGGAGUCACGAAUCUUUCACUGCAUCUUUCACAACCUCCCAAGAUGCACACAGUCCAAGAUAGUUCUUCAAAAUUGAAGUCAAUGCCUCUGCACGGAGAAUACAUCUUGUUGGACAGAGGACACAGAUGCCAGGCAGAAGAGGAUCCUUAUAUAUGAGCUGAAAAAGUCAAGACAGAUUCACAACUCCAGUUGUUCAAAAUGAGAUAAAGGAAAUCAUGGCUCUUAAAAUUGUGAAAAAUAUUUCUGAGAAAAAUUCUGGAAAGUGGCAUACAGCUAUAGUAGAUGAAACAGUAGUCUUCUUCAGCAAAGAGCAAGUGCUUUUAUGCCUACUGUAUGUGAAUGAUGACAUGAAGAGUUCACUGGAUUGUACAAUUAGUCUGUAUAUCAGCAGAGGUAACUGUAUCAGUAAUUAAAGAUAUAUCAUUGUGCCCAAAUCUGAGGAUCUCUAGGGUUUGGCAUUAUUGAAAUACAACAAACUUUUUGGUAGAAAGCUAUUUAGUGGUUCAUUCCCCAAGAAACCUCUACAAGAUUUGGUGACCUGGCUGUAUCCUGCUUCCACCAUAACAGAGGUUGAACAGACCAAGCAAUGGAGGACUCUGCCAACACAGGGAGAUGACCUUAUCUUUUGAAGAAGCUGUAAACAGUUCUGGCUUGAUCUCUGGAUCCCCACAGGUACUGCCAGAACAGCCUCCAUCACCUCAUGACUUUUUUAAAAGGUCUAUCUAGUGGUUCUUGUACAGUGAUCUUGUAUUACAACAGAAACAGAGUUUAAAGAUCUUUCUACUUAUAGAGCCAUAAAGAAAAGAAGGGAAGUCACAUCCUCUUUGGACUUGUUCACAACCCCCAGGUUGAGAAUCAAUGCUUAAGCAGAAACUGUUCUUGAUAUACAAGAGCUAUAAGUUCAUCCUGGCCUUCAUUUUGAGUAAAUAACCUAGGAAAUGGUGCCAGUACUUGGUGGUUCAUGUUCAUGUUUGGGGGUUUGACCUCUUCUCUCACAGUUCCCCUAGACUCCCAGAAGGCCUCAAAAUCUCCUAACAGCUUCUGCUUCAGAGAGAUGAACUAGGAACUGGUGGAACAGCUACCCACAGGGCAUUGCAGAUACAAUGUUAUAGAAGACCACUAAUAUGAAAGUGGGUAUGACACUCUGGGAUAGUUGAGUGGUUACCUCCUCCCCUUCUUAGCUUGAUGGCUUUGUUUAUCUUUUAUGUAAAUGCAUUUCCAAUGUCUUUUGAUUUAUCUUCAAGGUGAUGGAACCACAUUCCUUUGUCUAGGGUGGGGUACUUUGUCCUGCCAUUUUAAGAACAUAAUUUCAGCACAUAUGUAUAACUCUUUGUACACAUCCCAUAUAUACAUCAUGCAAGAAUAUUGGUGAUCAGUGAUGUAUUAGUCUUCCAGUGAUAUAUACUACCUUUGGGUAUAUAUCAUGACAUCAGUGUGUUUGAUGUAGUGAGUAUGUCAGGCUUGACAAAAGUGUUGCCACAGAGUAGCAAACCACUAAUGGGCCUCUGUAUAAAACUAAAAUGAAACGGCAGGGGUAGUGUGGACAUAAUGAACAGUAGGUACUUACACUUGUUCAGUUGACUAUGGUCCAAUUCUUGAGGGUGGACAAAGACAGCCGAGGUGGGCCAAUUGUCAUUGUGACAUUGUGGGAAUCACCCAGAAUAGUAAGGGGUUCUUUUACCAUCUGUCCUGUAACCUCGGGUGCCUUAAUGCUGUACUGCUAUGGUUCAGAGCCCUGACACCAGUAGCCAGCCUUCAGGCAUAUAGGUCUCACCCUGGCUCCCCCAGCCUAAUUACUCCUUGCAGGGUCAUACCAACAGCCCUUCCAGUCCCGAGUCCUUCCAAAUCCGUCCUUCCUGAGUUCUUAGCUACCAGACGCUUGGAGUUUUCCCCUCUGUUCAUCACCCCCAAAAGAGGGAAACCAGCUCACUUGUUAUCAGCUCACUUUGGCCCAUACAGACACACACACACACACACUCCAUGCAGUUUGCACAACAGAGACCUGCUUGGGGAAAAAAAACCCCCAAAAAGGUUAUUUAAUAGAAAAAUCCAGCACUUAAUUUGUAAUGAAAGAGGUACUGGGGCUCAAGCAAUUUUUUUACUUUCAUAACUAAUGUGGCAAGCCCAGAGGUGCUGGGGCUAUGAACUGCCAAGCCUAGAGGUGCUGGGACUCAGCCCUGGCAAGCCCCAGCACAAAUUAAGCCCUGGAAAAAAUCACAGUUUCAAAGAUUAAAUAGUAAGGAAGGGCAAACUCAUACCAGUUACACAGCAAAGAAACAUAAAUGUGCAAUUCCAGGCUUUAUGCUUCUAUAUUAUACAAAUCCCCUUUUCUAAUACAAGUUACUUAUUGCCUCUGAACAGUUUUACCCUUAGCCCUAGGUGGGAUCCAGUGUUCACAGACAGCCCCCUGCCUUUGAGACUGUCCCUCAGUUCUGAAUGUCUUUCACUUCAAACCCCUUCCCUUUUAACAGGGUUUGCAGAGUUUGUUUCUCUCUCUCUCUCCCUCUCUCUCACUUAUUCAUGAUGGGGGAAAUUCCCACUUGACUUGAUAGUCAGGAUGUCUGUGUCUUCCCAUUAACUGCAAUGGUCCAUCAUUUGUCCUUUCCUGGGAUGUAUCAUAGAUAGUUACUUGCAUCUGUUUUUUUGUAAACAUCUGGAUUGGGAGGAGCCCCUCCCUGCUGUGAGGUACAGUAUUUGAAAUUGUAGUACAGGUCAUGAGCAUAGCACUUUAUAUAGAUAAAUGCAUAGUCAUAACCACAGUCUGUAUACAUAUCUCAUAAUGAUCAUCAAGUUCAGAAGAUCACAAGCUUUCAUAAAAGACCUUACUCUAUAUUUUUAUACACAACAUUGUAUACAACCACUUGGUCCAAUUGCUUACUCUUUGGAAUUCAGACCCCCUAUUGGGAUGUGUAUAGCCUGACUGUCACAGUCAGUUCCUCUAUCCAAGUGUCCUAAAUGGAUCAUUACUCACAUCUAUUAAUAUAUUAUGGAGUUCUAUAGCUAAGUCCCACAUAUUUAACCCUUAUGGAGAGUUUCAUAUCAAGUGUUCAUUUCAAUAGUGCACUUCUUCACCACCUUAGCCAUAACAUAUCAGUCCCUUUUUCUGAGACGUCUGAGCAUAAGUGCAGUUUCAAAGCAUGCUCUGAUAGUAUAAAGAUGGAAAAAUGUGUGAUAAUUAAAAAAAAAUAUAAGAAAAAUAAAGGGAGAACAGGAAAAAAAAUGUAAAGAAAUGGGAAGGGAGAAAAAGGAAAGGAGGGCAGGAAGAGGAAAGGAGAGCAAUCCGGUUUCCAUCCACUAGGAAUUAAUCAAAAGUUUCUAAAAAGUCCAAACAAAAUCUCCUCAAAUUUGUCUGUGGGCCCUCUUCUCCAAAAUGUUACCAACUCUAUAUCUGCCAGGUCAGCCAAGUUCCUGGGCCAAGUUCCUAUCCCUAGAGGCAGUCUUCUUCUCUAAACAAUAUGACUCAGUUGGCUAAAAGCACUGCUCUAGAGAAUGUUUUUUUCUGUGAAUGGAGGAGUUUCCAAGUUGAUGGGAAAUAUCACUAAACACAAUUCUGUGAGGUAAUUUUUAAGGAGAUAGCAAUUAUAAUUUUAAUCUUAUCUACUUCUAGCCAAAAAGGGGACAGUAUUCUGGGACAGUUCCAAACAUGUGAACCAGUGUAGCUCCACCAGCAGUCUGUUUUGGCAAGACCUAUGAGGGGACCAAUGUGAACAAAGUAUAAUUUUCUGGUGCAUCAGCUUUAAUUAUAGAUCAGUAGUAGAGUUUUUAAAUGGUUUGCAAGGCACUUCCCCAUUGGCUAGGGCUCAAGGAUAUACACAAAUCCUUGUUCCAAAUGUGUCCCAGGCAAUCUAAUUUAGGGAGUUCUGCUGGGCCAGGAGUUUUUAACAGGCUAAAGUUGGUAGGAUGAACCUAUGGAGCUCUCUCCACAUCAACAACAAUUCUGCUGUCUCUGGUGAUCCCAGGACCAAAUAUGUCCUUCAAGAGAUGCUUACACUGUAACAUGCAGUUGGAUCAAGUGGGUUGUAUUGUUUUUGGAGUGCUUGGAAUAGCAGAAACUGAUCCUCUGAGAUCAAUAGAGAGCAACUUGAUCAUUGUUGAUCUUCCAAAGAUGACAUUUUCCAAUAUUUCUACAUCAGUCCCAGAAAUAUUCCAUUGUGAGAGUGAUGGCAAGGUGACAUUUAACUUGGGAGAGAAUCAAAACAUAGCUCUUCUGAUGAGCAGUUAAACUGAGGAUUGACUGCAUUGUAUCACUCUGAAUGAUCACAUCACUGUUGGAUUAGUUAGAAUCCUUUGUCUCCUCAUCCCAGUGGUAGCUCUCCACCUUUUCCUUUAUACCUGGAACAUCAUCCCUGAUACAGGCCACUACACCUUCAAAUCUCUCCUAAACUCAGGACCUGAUUUUUGCUUUCAUUAAGACACUUUUUUCACCACUCUCGCAGUAUAAAGGACCCUUAAAGUGGGUAUAAAUGCCAUCUUCCUUUUAGAAGAUCUGUGUUUUCCUUGGAAUAUUGAAUGCAAUUUACACCCACUUUCAGACCCCUUUACAAUUCCAGAGUGGUGUAAAAGAAUCUUAAUUUGAAUGAGAAUCAGGCCCUCAGUUCCUUCAGCUCACCUCCCAACUUUAGCCAUCUCGACACACUCUCAUAGCCCAAAAUUUCAUCAAAUUAUUGUGAUUAUCUAUAUCUAUAUAUUUUCUAUAUUUAUAUAUAUAUAUAUAUAUACAUACACACACAAUACCUAGUCAACCUAACCAAUUAAUAAAAUUACAGAAAUUUAUGCUACAUCCCUUUCUCCUAUUUCCUUCCUGAUGUUCCUGUCUGAUUUAGACUGUUUGUUCCUCAGCACAAAAUGUCUUCUAUAUUAUGUCUGGUAAGAGCAAUGUACAUGUUUGGUGCAAUAAAAUUUAAAACAUUAACUCUCUGUAUGACAACCUUUGUAUGCCAGGAACCGCUGUCAGAGCAAAAAAUGUACAUGUGGGAUUUGAUAAUGCAGCUCUAGUGCCCCGAGUAGUUGGAUAAACUCCUCAUCCAUUGCAAUAGCACCAGGUUGCACAUCUAGGGGAAGCAUCUCAUGCAGAAGGCUAGGUCUUUUGGAUCUCCAGGGAUUGCACUCGCCAAGCAGUGCCACAUUAAUCUAUAAUUAACUGGACAUUAAAGAAUGAUAUUUUAAAAAACAGGGUGCCCCCAUUAAACCUUUCAGUGAUUUCUCUGUACUCCUUGAUGUGCUUGACUUCCACACAUUUUAUCAUGGCUGCUGUAGUGUAACCUAAGUUCAUUUUUCAUGAGAUACUAUGGCUUAGAUUUGAUUCAUACAGUAGAGAACUCCCAUAUAUGCCAUGUGAAAGAUCAUUAUUAUGAUGCUCAGUGCUCUGCAAAAAAUGCCAUGACAUCAGUGUUUCAAUUCAAAUACAUUGUGUUUAAAAGUGUAAGUUAAUAAAUGAAUGUAAAUCAA